ACAAAAAUUAGCUGGGCAUGGUGACAGGUGCCUGUAAUCCAGCUACUUGGGAGGCUGAGGCAGGAAAUUGCUUGAACCCUGGAGGUGGAGGUUGCGGUGAGGCGAGAUCAUGCCACUGUACUCCAGUCUGGCGACAGAGCGAGACUCCAUCUCAAAAAAAAAAAAGGAAAAAAAAAUUUAUGGGGGACAGGUGUGGUGGCUGAUGCCUAUAAGCCUAUAAUCCCAGUACUUGGGAGGCCAAGGCAGGAGGAUCACGUGAGGCCAGGAGAUCAGCCCGAGAAAUAUAGUCAGACUCUUGUCUCUACAAAAAAUUUAAAAAAUUAGCUGGGCUUUUACUUGAGCUCAGGAGUUGAGGCUACAGUGAGCCAUGAUUGUACCACUGCACACCAGCCUGGGUGACAGAGUAAAACCCUUUUUUUAAAAAAAAAAAAAAAAAAGGCCAGACAUGGUGACUUGUGCCUGUUAUCCUAGCUCUUUGGGAGGCCAAGGUGGGAGGAUCACUUGAGCCCAGGAGUUCAAGACCAGCCUGGGCAAUGUAGUGAGACCCCAUGUUCUUAUCUGUGUCCUUAGAAUCCUACAAAUACAAAUGAGAUUGUCCCUGGCAGGUUGUUAAUAGAAGUUUCGCUGAAGGCUUGAUCAGAGUAGUAAGGGCCCCUGACUGCUGGAAGCAAAAGUGGUUCUUUAGCCUGUUACACCUAUUCAGCUGUAUCAGGCCCUUUAUUCUUCUGUUUUCUUCUAGCAGGAGCCAUGUUAAAGGCUCACCCACCCCUUCUCCCCAUGAUCCUUCUUAAAAUAUCCACUUUAAAAGGAAAUUGUUAUGGAAGAAGUACAAUUGUCAGAAUAAUAUUUUGGUACAGUAGAAAGCUGGGAGGCUUCUGGGCUCUUUUCUGGCCUUACAGACUUUGAGCCUGAAGCAUUUUACUUCUCUGAAGCUCAAUUUGCUCUUGAUCAGAAGAGCAGAGUAACUGUGGUCCUCCAAUGGCCGUGAGAGUUCCAUGAGAAUGUGACUACAAGUGUGCUUGGUAAAGUGGAGAGCUGUGCCCCAGGACACACGAUUUUCUUAUGUACUGCUGGGGUGCCAGCCUCACCACUCAUGUCUGAGUAGUAAGGUGCUAUCAUCUUCUAAGUGGUGUGGUUUCUUUCUCUCCAUAGUGCUAAAAUAAAAAAUAUCAUUUCCACGGAGGAUGCCAAGGCCCGUCUGCUGGCAGAGCAGCAGAACAAGAAGAAAGACAGCGAGACCUCCUUCGUGCCUACCAACAUGGCUGUGAAUUACGUACAGCACAACAGAUUUUAUCAUGAGGAGCUCAACGCGCCCAUACGGAGAAACAAAGAAGAGCCCAAGGCCCGGCCCUUGAGAGUAGGCGACACAGAGAAGCCAGAGCCUGAGCGUGAGUGCAACAAAGGCCUUGGGGCUGCCUGGAGUGCUCAGCAAUGCGGGAACCCAUGGAGGCAGGAUGCAGCGGGGGACAGGGUGGAGCUUGGCAUUGGAGCCGGGGCAUCUGGGUUCCAGUCCAUGUUCUGGACCAUGACUGUGUGCCUUCCCCUUUCUAAGCCUCAGUUUCCUCAUUGGAAUCCUAAUAGAAACUACCUGUUAGGAUUGCUCUGAGAAUUCAUACUCUCAUAUUCUCAAGCACAGUAGAGACUCAAGAAGUUAGAAAAUUUCAGUAAGGACAAAUAAAAGCUACUCAUAAGGUUAGCUGGGUGCAGUGCCUCACACUUGUAGUCUCAGCUGCUGGGGAAGCUGGGGCAGGAGGAUUGCUUGAGACAAAAGAGUUCAGGGCUGCAGUGAGCUAUGAUUGGACCACUGCACUCUAGCCUGCGUGACAGAGUGAGACCACAUCUUUUUUUUGAAGAAAAGAAAAAGGUAUUGGCCAUGCUCGGUGGCCCAUGCCUGUAAUCCCAGCACUUUGGGAGGCUGAGGCAGGCAGAUCACCUAAGGUCAGGAGUUCAAGACCAGCCUGGCCAACAUGGUGAACCCCGUCUCUACUAAAAAUACAAAAAUUAGCCAGGCGAGGUGGCAGGUGCCUGUAAUCCCAGCUACUCAGGAGGCUGAGGCAGGAGAAUCGCUUGAACCCGGGAGUUGGAGGUUGCAGUGAGCUGAGAUCAUGCCAUUACACUCUAGCCUGGGCAACAGGGUGAGACUCUGUCUC
rnacentral:sRNA from 1 species